CCUGCAUGUUUGUGGAAGUGGGCGGAGCCGGAGCACCCAAACGGAACCCACACAAACACGGGGAGAACAUGCAAACUCCACAGAGAAAGGACUAGGA